rnacentral:rRNA from 2 species
GGAUGCGAUCAUACCAGCACUAAAGCACCGGAUCCCAUCAGAACUCCAAAGUUAAGCGUGCUUGGGCGAGAGUAGUACUAGGAUGGUUGACCUCCUGGGAAGUCCUCGUGUUGCAUUCC